rnacentral:rRNA from 1 species
UGCCAGCAGCCACGGUAAGACGAACCGUCCGAACGUUAUUCGGUAUCACUGGGCUUAAAGAGUACGUAGGCUGCCUUGAAGGUGAGAUGUGAAAUCCCAUGGCCUAACCAUGGAACUGCAUUUCAAACCACAAGGCUUGAGGGAGACAGGGGUAAGCGGAACUGAUGGUGGAGCGGUGAAAUGCGUUGAUAUCAUCAGGAACACCGGUGGCGAAGGCGGCUUACUGGGUCUCUUCUGACGCUGAGGUACGAAAGCUAGGGUAGCGAACGGGAUUAGAUA